rnacentral:rRNA from 1 species
CAGUAGCCACGGUAAUACGUAGGGUGCGAGCGUUAAUCGGAAUUACUGGGCGUAAAGCGUGCGCAGGCGGUUUUGUAAGACAGGCGUGAAAUCCCCGGGCUCAACCUGGGAAUGGCGCUUGUGACUGCAAAGCUAGAGUGCGGCAGAGGGGGAUGGAAUUCCGCGUGUAGCAGUGAAAUGCGUAGAUAUGCGGAGGAACACCGAUGGCGAAGGCAAUCCCCCGGGCCUGCACUGACGCUCAUGCACGAAAGCGUGGGGAGCAAACAGGAUUAGAUACCCCGGUAGUCCCUGUCUCUUAUAC